GACAGAGGCCCCGAGCGUUAGGCGGAAUCACUGGGCUUAAAGCGUGUGUAGGUGGAUCGUUAAGUACCUUGUGAAAUCCCAUGGCUUAACCAUGGAACUGCUUGGUAUACUGGCGGUCUUGAGCCAGCUAGGGGCUACCGGAACAAAUGGUGGAGCGGUGAAAUGCGUAGAUAUCAUUUGGAACGCCAAUGGUGAAAACAGGUAGCUGGGGCUGUGCUGACACUGAGACACGAAAGCCAGGGGAGCAAACGGG
rnacentral:rRNA from 1 species